CAAUGGCGUAUAUUUAAGUUGUUGCAGUUAAAAAGCUCGUAGUUGGAUUUCGGUUAAGAGCGACCGGUCCGCCGUUUGGUGUGCACUGGUUGGUUUUAACUUCCUGUAGAGGACGUGCUCUGGGUUUAACGACCUGGACUCGGAGUCUACGUGGUUACUUUGAAAAAAUUAGAGUGUUCAAAGCGGGCUUACGCUUGAAUAUUUCAGCAUGGAAUAACACUAUAGGACUCCUGUCCUAUUUCGUUGGUCUCGGGACGGGAGUAAUGAUUAAGAGGAACAGUUGGGGGCAUUCGUAUUUCAUUGUCAGAGGUGAAAUUCUUGGAUUUAUGAAAGACGAACUUCUGCGAAAGCAUUUGCCAAGGAUGUUUUCAUUAA
rnacentral:rRNA from 1 species